CCCAAGUUAGUUGUCUUUCCUUACUCAUAUCUUCUUUUCCAUAGAGCAAAUUGGCCAAGAGAUGUUGGAAAACCUCAGUCACGACAGAGAAAAGAUACAGCGAGCACGCGAAAGACUUCGGGAAACAGAUGCAAACUUGGGGAAAAGCUCAAGGAUUCUGACAGGGAUGUUACGAAGAAUCAUCCAGAACCGCAUCCUGCUCGUCAUCUUGGGGAUCAUCGUGGUCAUCACCAUCCUGACGGCGAUCACUUUUUUUGUCAGAAAACACUGAUGUAUCUGCUCUCCCUUGAUAAACAACAACCACGGCUUGUUCUGAGUAAUUAAGACAAAAUGGUCACAUGAAUCAUUCUUUUGCGCUGACAGGCCCUUGGGUGACCCACCUUCUCCUUCCCCACUGUUUAGCUGAAGUGCAAAGAGUGUAAAAAUAUUUUCUAUUCCUGUUUGCAUGUGGGUUGGUUUCCUUUUCUAGGUUGGUCUUCACCCAGAUUUGUUUUUUAUAGACAAAGGUAAAUGUUUGUUUGCCUUUUGGUAAUUUCAUCUACUGUCCAAAAUAGCCUUGGUGACAUUCUUUCUUGCCCUGUGGACAUGUCAGGGGUCAGGGAAUAGGAAAGAGAAUGAUGAGUCAGUCACAGGAGCUUCUGUUUUUCACAUACCUCUCAUUGCCAACAUGUCCUUUUAUCAUGUCUGAGUAUAAAAAUGCAAAGAAAAUCAGGGACUAGAGCCAGUGACCAGCUCCGGCAGGCCAGCCCUGUCCCUCCCAGGCCCAAUGAAUAUAGUCAGCCUGCACAAGUGCUUUUAUUACAAAGAAAGGUAUUUAAUGUCACUUGUACAGGAAAUUGACUUAGCACUUUCCAUGUUUUUCUAUUGCAUAAUUUUUUUAACCCAAGAUAUUUGUGCUGAUCCUGCUCAAUAUCUACUUUUCACAAUGUUGGUUACUGGCUGCAAGAAAUAUUUCCAUGCCUUUCCAAAAAUCCCGUGCUCCUCAGAAUUUUCUGGUGAUGUGAGCUCUGGCACAGUAUUUAAUUGUGACCUCUCUGUAUCCCUGACCUAUGUAAGCCUCUCUGUAUCCUUUUGUUUUGAAUAUUUGCUCUGCCAAAGGCAGCCCUUAUACAUGCAAGAGGUCUGACAAGGUUCUCUGCACAUCCAUCCCAGUAUGUAAAGAUAACAUGAAUAUGUCAGAAAGAGCAAGCAUGACUCUAUCAGUGUGAAAUUUCCAGUGUGCUUAUAAAUAUGGGAGUUCUAUAGGACGUCCAUGAGAAAUAAACUUUCUGGAAAAUGUCCACUAACAACCUUUCAAAGAAUAAGGGAUUGCAGAGAGUUACAAAAGGACAACUUGGGUUUUUUCCUAACAAAUGUUCGCAAAGCUUUCCUGAAUUCACUGUGUAUUCAACCCUCUAACAUGCGUUGUGAUUUGCUUUCCUUUCUUUCUGUCUGAGGUACCCAGGAAUUGUGUUCAAAAUGAGCUCAUUUGUGAUUGGGCUUAAAAGUUGCCCAAGCUGAGGUCAUUUUCCCACUAGUCAUAAAGCAAAAUGUGUUUUUCUUAAGACUUCAUAGGCACUUACGAGUUCCUACUAUCUUUUGAAUAUAGUUAGAAGCUUUGAACUCUUGAAAAGCAAACCUGUUCUCUUCAUAAAAUAUGCUAACCAUUUGUGCUCGUGGAUCAUGCGAACCCAGCACUCGAUUUUUUCCCCAACUCGGAAGAGGACCAUUAUGGUGUAGAGAGGAAAUGCAGAAUGCAAAAUCCACCAGAGAAAUCAUACUUAGCAAAACAAGCCAGGGUCUGCAUGUGUUCAGAUAAAUCAUUUAGUAUUGUGUAAAUAAAGCUGCAGCCUUUAUGUGAGAGGGAAGGUUGGGAUUCUAGCCGAGUGAAAUAGGACGGGGAAGGAGCAGGAAACUGUGCUAAUUUUCCUCUCAGCAGAAGGGACCCAUCUCAGCAAGAAUCUGGAUUUGCUAAACACAGGAAAGAAACCAUUAAAAAGUGAGGAAAGAAACAAACAAAUAGCCCCUUCUCCAUCUGAAACAUGGGAUAGUCCUGAAGUGUGCCAACCACUCUGGAGGCUUCCUUCCCAAAUGUUGAUCGUAGUUGAAUGUAUGACUGAGUGCUGAGCUGUCAUUCCCACCUGCCUCCCAUCUACCACUCAGCGGUCUUCCCAAGGCCACCUAGCAGGCAAGGUUGAUCUGAUCACCUGCACUUGCUGGCUCCUAAAUAUUUCACUAAAACCUUGUGUUCACACUGAAAGCCAAAGAAAUGAGAAAGGAGUGCGUUCGUUACUCACCUUGCAAUGACUUUUUCUGCUGAGUUCUAUUUCUUUAUCAGCUUUUGACUGCAAUUUUGCCCCAGUUCAACCCCAGGAGUGGAAAGAAUGGGAACAGACAACCAUUGGCCUCACAGGGCCAUCACAUUCCCUCGAGAAAGACGUCCUAGACCAAGCCAAGGAGUUACUGGGGAGGAAACUGAUCUGAAGGUCUCCUGGUUGCUGUGGGAGGAACUCUGUGGAACCCCAGGGAAAGCCAAGUGUUUGCCCUCUUUCUCUGCUCUGCUUGGGAAGGAGAAGGUCCAUGAAUUUGAAAUGGGCCAUGGAUCUGUGGAAGGUUCUAGGUACUUAAGAUGUAGACUUUGGUUGAAUAUUCAUAAAGUUGAGAAGCUUUGUUUAAGAAGAUGUUUGCUGUAAAGUGGGGGCAGGGGGGACACGAAGAUGAAGAUGUGGGAAAAAAAAGAAAAGGAAGCCUUCCACAUACAAAAUUCAUGCAGACUAAACAGUUUCCCUGACAGAAUAAAUAAAGUGGAUGGUACCCUGCCCCAGAAUCAAAAGCAAUUCAAUUAAAGUCUCUUAAGUUGUAAAGAGUUUUAAAUGCUCCAUGUUGAAGGCGAAUGGCUGCAGAUGCAGUGGGCCUGACGUCAGCUGCCAGGCCUGAGCUGGGAGGCCAUUUGCUAUUCUGUUUCAGGCAGGCUGGAUUGUCUUAUUUUGGAACCAGCUUGGUGGGGGGUUUGCUUUGCUACUGCUUCUGAGCCUGAGCUUCAAAGGCUGAAAUUAAUGGCGAACAAAAUUGUGCAGCUCUGGCUGUCCCAUGCGGGGCAGGCCCAUUGAGGGUUAUCAUUAAGUAAAGAAAGAAAGAGGGGAAUAAAGCCUGCCUGUUCCAAAAACCUCAUCAGAUAAUGACCUCAGUGAUUGGGUUUUCAUUACCAAACAGCAUCCAGAGAUUAUCAACCCGUAGAAGAAGGGAGGGGAGGGAAAGAAAGAAAGGAAAAGCCAC